AAUAAACGCUGGCGGCGUGCCUAACACAUGCAAGUCGAACGUGAAAUGGGGCAACCCAAAGUAAAGUGGCGUACGGGUGAGUAACACGUGGGUAAUCUACCAGAGAGUCUGGAAUAACCUGCCGAAAGGCGGGCUAAUACUGGAUAGAGCGACGAAAUCCGUAAUUGGGUUUUUCGGGAAAGGGAGGACGCAAGUCCCUUCGCUCUCUGAUGAGCCUGCGUCUCAUUAGCUAGUUGGUGGGGUAAUGGCCACCAAGGCAUUGAUGGGUAGCUGGUCU
rnacentral:rRNA from 1 species